rnacentral:rRNA from 1 species
UUAGGUGGUUAUAGUGUGAGGGUUCCACCUCUUCCCAUUCCGAACAGAGAAGUUAAGCCUCACUUACGCCGAUGGUACUGCCCGCAAAGUGGGAGAGUAGGUCGCCGCCGAUU